UACGGGGGGCUGCAGUGGGGAAUCUUGGACAAUGGGCGAAAGCCUGAUCCAGCAAUGCCGCGUGUGUGAAGAAGGCCUUCGGGUUGUAAAGCACUUUUGUCCGGAAAGAAAUCCUUGGCUUUAAUACAGUCGGGGGAUGACGGUACCGGAAGAAUAAGCACCGGCUAACUACGUGCCAGCAGCCGCGGUAAUACGUAGGGUGCGAGCGUUAAUCGGAAUUACUGGGCGUAAAGCGUGCGCAGGCGGUUUGUUAAGUCAGAUGUGAAAUCCCCGGGCUCAACCUGGGAACUGCAUUUGAUACUGGCAGGCUAGAGUAUGGCAGAGGUGGGUGGAAUUCCAAGUGUAGCGGUGAAAUGCGUAGAUAUUUGGAGGAACACCAGUGGCGAAGCAGCUCACUGGCCUGAUACUGAC
rnacentral:rRNA from 1 species